rnacentral:rRNA from 1 species
AACGUAGGACACAAGCGUUAUCCGGAAUUACUGGGCGUAAAGGGCGUGCAGGCGGUUGCGUAAGUUAGGCGUGAAAGACCCCGGCUCAACUGGGGGGUGUCGUGCGAUACGGGCGGACUGGAGGCCAGUAGGGGGAUGCGGAAUUCCGGGUGUAGUGGUGGAAUGCGUAGAGAUCCGGAGGAACACCAGCGGCGAAGGCGGCAUCCUGGACUGGUCCUGACACUCAGGAGCGAAAGCGUGGGGAGCGAUCCGG